UUAGGAUGCUAUGGCUUAUUAAUGGUUGGAGUAGGUCUCAUGCAAUUUCCUACCUGUCCUCAAGAGGCCCUGCUGUUGCAGCAGGACAUUGUUGAGGCCAAGAGCUAUUUGAAGCAAAGAGGAAUUGAUGUCAGUGUCAGCUGAAGCAAUGAUCUCAUGAACCUGGUGCAGCAAAUUUAGAACCUGGUUGAUCACAAUUAUCUGACUGAGAAUUCUCACCUACUAGUAUAUUUGCGAUGACAAUUUUAGUCUAACUUGAUAACUAUUAAAGUGAAAAUCACAGAGUAAAUUUAACAAGAAGAAAGCUUAGUGUCAAUUUUAAUUUUUCAAAUCUCCUUUGAUUUUGUUGGUUCAUGUGUGUUUGCACUGAUUCAUUCUCUAAUUCUUAACAUUAUUUAUACA